CAGCUCGCCAUAUGGCUAUGAGCUGUUUAAUAGCUCCUAGCCCUAGUAUGGGGAAUAUAUUCUAUCGCGCUGAUUAGAUGAAUUGAAUAUGGACAUUUCCAGCUCCCAGAUGGGGUUGGACUCGCUGGCUGAAAUGGUCCUUUAAGUGAUCAAUCACUCUAGCAGAGCAUUUCCCAGGAUAGGCUCUGGAUCCACCGCAACCCUGACCAAGAUAAAGCGAUAUCUUAGCAAACUUGCACAAACUAAAGUAGACUGACUGACGGCCAGAGAUCCCCAUAUGAAGAAAUGUCUGUAAUGAGCCACAAAAGUUUCAGUGAGUGUGGAAGCUCGACAACUCGACAACUCAACAGACUGAACCAUUUUACAAAAUAAAGGAAACAGAAACUUACCUGAUGAGUUGCAAACGAUAUAUACUAGACUUUGACAGUCACUGUUUUAUCAAACAGACA